ACGGGGGGCAGCAGUGGGGGAUAUUGCGCAAUGGGGGGAACCCUGACGCAGCAACGCCGCGUGAAGGAUGAAGGUCUUCGGAUUGUAAACUUCUUUUAUUAAGGACGAAGAAAGUGACGGUACUUAAUGAAUAAGCUCCGGCUAACUACGUGCCAGCAGCCGCGGUAAUACGUAGGGAGCAAGCGUUGUCCGGAUUUACUGGGUGUAAAGGGUGCGUAGGCGGCUUUGCAAGUCAGAUGUGAAAUCUAUGGGCUCAACCCAUAGCCUGCAUUUGAAACUGCAGAGCUUGAGUGAAGUAGAGGCAGGCGGAAUUCCCCGUGUAGCGGUGAAAUGCGUAGAGAUGGGGAGGAACACCAGUGGCGAAGGCGGCCUGCUGGGCUUUAACUGACGCUGAGGCACGAAAGCGUGGGUAGCAAACAGGAUUAGAUACCCUGGUAGUCCACGCUGUAAACGAUGAUUACUAGGUGUGGGGGGUCUGACCCCUUCCGUGCC
rnacentral:rRNA from 1 species